GCCUACCUCUGGGAUAGCUCAGUCAGUAAAGCAUGAGACUCUUAAUCUUAGGGUCGUGGGUUCAAGUCCAUGGUGGGCA